UCGCAGUAGAGGCAGGCCUAAAGCAUUUCCCAGAGUGGUAGGUCAUGCUUGUUAUUAAGGUAAACAGCAAAGGCUACAGUCAUAGCUUUGUAGAAGGCAGGUUCUACUGUUAGCUGAUCACAAUCAUAUGUUUGGACCUUUUAUGUUCAAUCAGUGUGCCUGUCACUGUAACUCUUUUUCCCAAAGGAUACUGGACUCCUAUUGAUUGUUCCAUUCUGCCAACAAGGAAACAGAACCAAAAAGAUGGAAUUCCUAGUUUAAAAUCCAGGAAUAGACUCCUGGUUGUCGAUAGCACCGGACUGGAGGCCAAGCCCCUGACUUACACAUAACUGAAUUUGGGCCUCCAGCCAGACGCCCAGCACUGUAGGAGGCAUGCUUCUCUCUCAGCCCAGUUUAUGAAGGCUUGCUGUUCUUGACUCAUUGCAGGCCACUGGUGUGUUUGUGCUUCUGUCAUCCUGACCAGUAGCUCUGUCACCACCAUGGAACCACCCUAGCAGUAGUGGCCACUGUCACUUGCAUGUUGGGCAUACCCGUUACUGAAGGAGGAAAAAUACACAUGUAUCCAGGUAAAUGUGUACAAGAGAACCUGUGGUAAAUGGGAGGUGUAAAGGGGACAGGCAAAAUGGCAAAAUGCCAAGAAGCAUGAAGGAGAGAGGAGUCUGACCCAGGAGAAAGACGUGAGGGUCUUGAACACUUCCUGGAGGACACGACAUCUCAGACCUUCGGGCUCCAGGAACUGUGCACCUCUGAGUUCUGAACACAUCACCAGUCAAUCACUAUGCAGCAAAGAUAAUGUGUUGAUCUUCUGGAAAGAGAUGCUUAUGGGCUCCAACAAAAGGGGAGACAUUGCUUCUAAAUAAGAGCAAAAUACAUAUUUUGCUUUUUAAAAAAUAAAGUAGAGAAUCUAAUGCUGAAAAAGCUAUCU
rnacentral:lncRNA from 1 species